rnacentral:ncRNA from 1 species
AGUUCUCAGGGCGGAGUGAAAUUCUCCACCGGUGGUGAAAAUAUAAAAUACAAUAAUAUAUUAAAGUCCACGAGCAUAGAUGAUGAGAUAAAUAAUAAAUGAAUAUAUUUCUAUGCUGAUUUGGUGCAACUCCAAAACCGACAGUAAAAGUCUGGAUGAAAGAGAAU